rnacentral:rRNA from 1 species
UAAGUAAGCAGUGGGUGAUACACUAAGAAGGACAUCCUCAGCAAUGGCGAAUGUACAGGGAUGAGCUCAAUGUGGAAGUUGGGGUGCUCAGCCCUGAGUUGUAGUCUUGGGAUAUGCAACCAAUGAAGGUGCAGUUGCAAGUCUUUGGAAUCAGAUUGUUGGUAAAGGUGAAAACCCUGUUUAUCAUUGGUGGCCUUCAAUACAUGGUGCAUUGUCCAUGAGUUAUACCCCUUGGGAUUGGUGUGUGAAGCGGGUGGUAUAUUUCAUGCAAAGAUGAACAUGGAUCUAGGGCCAAUAGUGAACAAGUACCAUGAGGGAAAUGUGAAACAGGACUUUGGACAGAGUGAUAAUAAUGCUCGAAGUUGCCGAAGAGGAAAUGAGGGGAGCCUUCUGCUUUUUGGGGAAGAUUACCGUGUGCAGGCGUGCUUGCUUGCGCUAGACGAUGCAAGUACGGCUGUGAGUCCUGAGUGGGAGUGCGCACAGAGUGUCUUGCCCUGUGGAUCCAUGCCAGAUUAUUGCACCAGUGAAAAAGCAGGGGCUUGGUAAACUGUUGCUGGGUGGGUGAGUGUCUUUGCGUGUACACGUGGAAAUAAUGCAUGGUGACAAUGUAGUGCCAUUCAUCCUGUCUUGAAACACAGAUCAAGGAGUCUAAUGCAUGCGCAAACACAGAGUUGGCAUGACAUGCUUGUGCAAUGAACAUGUUGGCAGGGAUUUAUGCAGCUUCAACCGACAAUUCAAGUGUGGAACACAUGAGUGUGAGUGUCUAUGUUAGGACCCGAAAGGUGGUGAACUAUGCUUGUGAAGAGGUCAGUUCAGGGGAAACUCUGAUGGAGGUCUGUAGUGGUACUGACGUGCAAAUCGUUCGUCAUACAUGGGCAUAGGGGUGAAAGACUAAUCGAAUCAUCUAGUAGCUGGUUCCCUCUGAAGUUUCCCUCAGGAAAGCUAGAUCGAUUCAGUUUUAUCAGGUAAAGCAAAUGAUUUGAGGAAUCGGGGGCAUCAUGCCCUUGACCUAUUCUCAAACUCUAAAGAGGUGAAGCACUGUGGUUACAUGCAUGAGCUUAUGGGGCAAGUGGACGCUCUAAGUGGGCCGUUUUUGGUAAGCAGAACUGGCGAUGAGGGAUGAACCUAAUGUUGGACUAAAGUGCAUUGUUGCCCACGCAUCAGAUACCAUAAAGGGUGUUGGUUCAUAUUAACAGCAGGACGGUGGUCAUGGAAGUUGAAAUCUGCUAAGGAGUGUGUAAUAACUCACCUGCCGAAUGGACUAGCCCUGAAAAUGAAUAGCGCUCAAGUGGGUGACUGAUAUCCAACCUCUGCUGCAAUUGUGUCGCUUCUCUGCGUAGGAGGGUGUGGGGCUUUGUGAGGAAGCCUGAGGUGUAAACCUGGGUGAAACAGUUCUCAGC